UACGUAGGGGGCAAGCGUUGUCCGGAUUUAUUGGGCGUAAAGAGCGUGUAGGCGGCCAGGUAGGUCUGCUGUGAAAACUCGAGGCUUAACCUCGAGCUGUCGGCGGAAACCAUCUAGCUAGAGUCCGGAAGAGGAGAGUGGAAUUCCUGGUGUAGCGGUGAAAUGCGCAGAUAUCAGGAAGAACACCCGUGGCUAAGGCGGCUCUCGAGUACGGUACUGACGCUGAGACGCGAAAGCGUGGGGAGCGAACAGG
rnacentral:rRNA from 1 species